AUGAACGCUAGCUACAGGCUUAACACAUGCAAGUCGAGGGGCAGCAUGGUCUUAGCUUGCUAAGGCCGAUGGCGACCGGCGCACGGGUGAGUAACACGUAUCCAACCUGCCGUCUACUCUUGGACAGCCUUCUGAAAGGAAGAUUAAUACAAGAUGGCAUCAUGAGUCCACAUGUUCACAUGAUUAAAGGUAUUCCGGUAGACGAUGGGGAUGCGUUCCAUUAGAUAGUAGGCGGGGUAACAGCCCACCUAGUCUUCGAUGGAUAGGGGUUCUGAGAGGAAGGUCCCCCACAUUGGAACUGAGACACGGUCCAAACUCCUACGGGAGGCAGCAGUGAGGAAUAUUGGUCAAUGGGCGAGAGCCUGAACCAGCCAAGUAGCGUGAAGGAUGACUGCCCUAUGGGUUGUAAACUUCUUUUAUAAAGGAAUAAAGUCGGGUAUGGAUACCCGUUUGCAUGUACUUUAUGAAUAAGGAUCGGCUAACUCCGUGCCAGCAGCCGCGGUAAUACGGAGGAUCCGAGCGUUAUCCGGAUUUAUUGGGUUUAAAGGGAGCGUAGAUGGAUGUUUAAGUCAGUUGUGAAAGUUUGCGGCUCAACCGUAAAAUUGCAGUUGAUACUGGAUAUCUUGAGUGCAGUUGAGGCAGGCGGAAUUCGUGGUGUAGCGGUGAAAUGCUUAGAUAUCACGAAGAACUCCGAUUGCGAAGGCAGCCUGCUAAGCUGCAACUGACAUUGAGGCUCGAAAGUGUGGGUAUCAAACAGGAUUAGAUACCCUGGUAGUCCACACGGUAAACGAUGAAUACUCGCUGUUUGCGAUAUACAGCAAGCGGCCAAGCGAAAGCGUUAAGUAUUCCACCUGGGGAGUACGCCGGCAACGGUGAAACUCAAAGGAAUUGACGGGGGCCCGCACAAGCGGAGGAACAUGUGGUUUAAUUCGAUGAUACGCGAGGAACCUUACCCGGGCUUAAAUUGCAGAUGAAUUACGGUGAAAGCCGUAAGCCGCAAGGCAUCUGUGAAGGUGCUGCAUGGUUGUCGUCAGCUCGUGCCGUGAGGUGUCGGCUUAAGUGCCAUAACGAGCGCAACCCUUGUUGUCAGUUACUAACAGGUUCCGCUGAGGACUCUGACAAGACUGCCAUCGUAAGAUGUGAGGAAGGUGGGGAUGACGUCAAAUCAGCACGGCCCUUACGUCCGGGGCUACACACGUGUUACAAUGGGGGGGUACAGAGGGCCGCUACCACGCGAGUGGAUGCCAAUCCCAAAAACCUCUCUCAGUUCGGACUGGAGUCUGCAACCCGACUCCACGAGGCUGGAUUCGCUAGUAAUCGCGCAUCAGCCACGGCGCGGUGAAUACGUUCCCGGGCCUUGUACACACCGCCCGUCAAGCCAUGGGAGCCGGGGGUACCUGAAGUGCGUAACCGCGAGGAGCGCCCUAGGGUAAAACUGGUGACUGGGGCU
rnacentral:rRNA from 1 species